CGUUAUAUGGCCGAAUUGGUAAAGGCGUCGCCGAUCACAGGCGAGGUUGCGGGUUCGAGUACCGCUGGAACGG
rnacentral:tRNA from 1 species